GGGGGUUUAGCUCAGUGGCAUAAGCGCCUGCCUUGAAAGCAGGCAGUCGUAAGUUCGAUCCCCA
rnacentral:tRNA from 1 species